rnacentral:rRNA from 1 species
CCGCCCGUCACACCAUGGGAGUUGAUUGCACCAGAAGCAGGUAGCCUGACCGCAAGGAGGGCGCCUACCGCGGUGUGGUCAAUGACUGGGGUG